GGCUCAUCGUCAGGGAGGAAAGUAAACUAGGGUCCAUGAUAGUUGGCAUAACUCAUGACAGACCCGAGUGAUGAAUUCUCUACAAAUGGCAGCAUUUAGUGAUCAUAAGGAUUAAUGCUUAGAAUGUCAGCAAAUUCAACCCAUCACCCCUCUGAAUACAUUCAUCUUCCUACCAGGGCACAUUAAUGGAGCACCCUGAAUGUCAGAUUAAUAUUAUCAGAAAGGGGCAGCAUAAUCUGCCUGCUCAGGAAUCUGUGCAGCUUUGAAGAAUGAGGGGAAAGAAACAAGGACCAAUGAGGAUAGAUCAUUGAAUAAGAAAGACCAUGACAAACUGAUUUUGUGAAUUGAUGCACAAAGGAAAGAUCUCCAGUAUACCAGUUCCUUUAUGACUGGCAGGUAGCAAGAGUGGAGAGAUUUCCUGAUGCAAAAUGCCUGAAGUCCUGCUAUUGCAUUAGCCUUUAUGGUUGGGAAUUGGACGAUUCACCAGAAGCACCGAGGGAUCAAAGCAGAAGGUGAAUGCCCCGAGUCUGAGAGAGCGUCGGACGCAUGAGGAGAA